UACGUAGGGCGCAAGCGUUGUCCGGAAUCAUUGGGCGUAAAGAGCUCGUAGGCGGCCUGUUGCGUCCGCUGUGAAAUCCCGGGGCUUAACCCCGGGCGUGCAGUGGAUACGGGCUGGCUGGAGGCAGGCAGGGGAGAACGGAAUUCCCGGUGUAGCGGUGGAAUGCGUAGAUAUCGGGAGGAACACCAGUGGCGAAGGCGGUUGCCUGGGGCUUUGCUGACGCUGAUGCGCGAAAGCGUGGGGAGCGAUCCGG
rnacentral:rRNA from 1 species